rnacentral:rRNA from 1 species
AGAAUGUAUAGCAAUAGCUAAUUGUAUUAACAUAAAAAAUAGUUUUUACAAUCUCGAGUAAAUCGAAUAAAAUUCUAGGUAGAUUUAUGAUAAUGACAUUAUCUAUCUAUGUGUCUUGACCAAAUUACGUGCCAGCAGUCGCGGUAAUACGUAAAAGACUAGUGUUAUUCAUCUUUAAUUGGUUUAAAGCGUACCUAGACGGUAAUUAUAGCCUUAAACAGGUACUUUUUUACUAGAGUUAUAUGUAAGGGUGUAUUAAAGUACUGUUGAGUUUAGAGAUGAAAUUCUUUGAUACCAGAUAAUUGGCACAUGUAUAGGCGAAAGCAUCACCUUAUGUAAUAACUGACGUUGACGGACGAAGGCUAUGUGUCGCGAACAGGAUUAGAUACCCUAGUAGUCUUAGCAGAAAAUUAUGAAUGUCAUAGGUUAGAUUUUUUUUAUUUGGUCUAUAAAUGAAAGUGUAAGCAUUCCACCUCAAGAGUAAUUUGGCAACAUUGGAACUGAAAUCAUUAGACCGUUUCUGAAACCAGUAGUGAAGUAUGUUGUUUAAUUUGAUAACCCGCAAAAAACCUUACCACAAUUUGAAUAUAUUUUUACAAGCGUUGCACGGCUGUCUUCAGUUAAUGUCGUGAGAUUUUGGUUUAGUCCAGUUAAUUAACGAAAACCCUUACUCUAUUUAUAUAUAGAGUUUUCCGCAGGCAUAUUGGAUGUGAUAAGA